rnacentral:rRNA from 1 species
AUUGAACGCUGGCGGCAGGCCUAACACAUGCAAGUCGAGCGGUAGCACAGGGAGCUUGCUCCUGGGUGACGAGCGGCGGACGGGUGAGUAAUGUCUGGGAAACUGCCUGAUGGAGGGGGAUAACUACUGAAACGGUAGCUAAUACCGCAUAACGUCGCAAGACCAAAGAGGGGGACCUUCGGGCCUCUUGCCAUCAGAUGUGCCCGGAUGGGAUUAGCUAGUAGGUGGGGUAACGGCUCACCUAGGCGACGAUCCCUAGCUGGUCUGAGAGGAUGACCAGACACACUGGAACUGAGACACGGUCCGGACUCCUACGGGAGGCAGCAGUGGGGAAUAUUGCACAAUGGGCGCAAGCCUGAUGCAGCCAUGCCGCGUGUAUGAAGAAGGCCUUCGGGUUGUAAAGUACUUUCAGCGGGGAGGAAGGCGAUAAGGUUAAUAACCUUGUCGAUUGACGUUACCCGCAGAAGAAGCACCGGCUAACUCCGUGCCAGCAGCCGCGGUAA